CUAGCGGCGAACGGUCGCGUAACACGUAAGCAACCUGCCCCAAAGUUUGGGAUAACCCACCGAAAGGUGGACUAAUACCGGAUGUGGCCCGUCUGGCGCAUGUCAGAUUGGUUAAAGGAGCAAUCCGCUUUGGGAUGGGCUUGCGGCCUAUCAGCUAGUUGGUGAGGUAACGGCCCACCAAGGCGACGACGGGUAGCUGGCCUGAGAGGGUGGCCAGCCGGAUUGGGACUGAGAUACGGCCCAGACUCCUACGGGAGGCAGCAAUUAGGAAUCUUGCGCAAUGGGCGAAAGCCUGACGCAGCGACGCCGCGUGAGCGAUGAAGUCUUUCGGGAUGUAAAGCUCUGUCCUGCAGGGAAGAAGGAUGUGACGGUACCUGCAGAGAAAGCCCCGGCUAACUACGUGCCAGCAGCCGCGGUAAUACGUAGGGGGCGAGCGUUGUCCGAAUUUACUGGGCGUAAAGCGCGUGUAGGCGGCUCUUUAAGUGAGGUGUGAAAUCCUGUGGCUCAACCACAGAACUGCAUUUCAAACUGGAGAGCUUGAGUUUGGGAGAGGAGAGUGGAAUUCCUGGUGUAGCGGUGAAAUGCGUAGAUAUCAGGAGGAACACCCGUGGCGAAGGCGGCUCUCUGGCCCAACACUGACGCUGAGACGCGAAAGCUAGGGGAGCGAACGGGAUUAGAUACCCCGGUAGUCCUAGCCGUAAACGAUGGACACUAGGUGUUAGUGGUAUCGACCCCACUAGUGCCGUAGCUAACGCAUUAAGUGUCCCGCCUGGGGAGUACGGCCGCAAGGUUGAAACUCAAAGGAAUUGACGGGGGCCCGCACAAGCGGUGGAGCAUGUGGCUUAAUUCGAUACUAACCGAAGAACCUUACCAGGGUUUGACAUCCGCUGUAAGUCCAUGAAAGUGGUUCCCUCCGUAGCAAUACGGACAGCGAGACAGGUGUUGCAUGGCUGUCGUCAGCUCGUGUCGUGAGAUGUUGGGUUAAGUCCCGCAACGAGCGCAACCCUCAUCGGAUGUUGCCAGCAUUCAGUUGGGCACUCUUCCGAAACUGCCCGGGUAACCGGGAGGAAGGUGGGGAUGACGUCAAGUCGGCAUGGCCCUUACGCCUGGGCUGCACACAUGCUACAAUGGCCGUUAACAAAGG
rnacentral:rRNA from 1 species